rnacentral:rRNA from 1 species
UACGUAGGGUGCAAGCGUUUGUCCGGAAUUAUUGGGCGUAAAGAGCUCGUAGGCGGUUUGUCGCGUCUGCUGUGAAAACGCGAGGCUCAACCUCGCGCCUGCAGUGGGUACGGGCAGACUAGAGUGCGGUAGGGGAGAUUGGAAUUCCUGGUGUAGCGGUGGAAUGCGCAGAUAUCAGGAGGAACACCGAUGGCGAAGGCAGGUCUCUGGGCUGUAACUGACGCUGAGGAGCGAAAGCAUGGGGAGCGAACAGG